GUAUCUAUAGCUCAGAUGGCAGGUAGCACUCCCCUUUUAAGGGAGGGGUCCAAGGUUCGAGUCCUUGUGGAUACACAA
rnacentral:tRNA from 1 species